GACAGAGGGGGCAAGCGUUGCUCGGAAUCACUGGGCGUAAAGGGCGCGUAGGCGGGUUGGCAAGUCAGGCGUGAAAUCUCUCGGCUCAACCGAGAAACGUCGGCUGAUACUGCCGUUCUUGAGGGAUGCAGAGGAGACUGGAAUUCCCGGUGUAGCGGUGAAAUGUGUAGAUAUCGGGAGGAAUACCGAUGGCGAAGGCAGGUCUCUGGGCUAUAACUGACGCUCAUGCACGAAAGCGUGGGGAGCAAACAGG
rnacentral:rRNA from 1 species